ensembl:Mt_tRNA
GUCUCUGUAGUAUAUGACAUUACCCCGGUCUUGUAAGCCGAAAAAGGAAGCGACACACCUCCCUGAGACU